GCGUAAAGAGCUCGUAGGUGGUUUGUCGCGUUGUUCGUGAAAUCUCACGGCUUAACUGUGAGCGUGCGGGCGAUACGGGCAGACUUGAGUACUGCAGGGGAGACUGGAAUUCCUGGUGUAGCGGUGGAAUGCGCAGAUAUCAGGAGGAACACCGGUGGCGAAGGCGGGUCUCUGGGCAGUAACUGACGCUGAAGAGCGAAAGCGUGGGGAGCGAACAGGAUUAGAUACCCUGGUAGUCCACGCCGUAAACGGUGGGUACUAGGUGUGGGUUUCCUUCCUUGGGAUCCGUGCCGUAGCUAACGCAUUAAGUACCCCGCCUGGGGAGUACGGCCGCAAGGCUAAAACUCAAAGAAAUUGACGGGGGCCCGCACAAGCGGCGGAGCAUGUGGAUUAAUUCGAUGCAACGCGAAGAACCUUACCUGGGUUUGACAUGCACAGGACGCCGGCAGAGAUGUCGGUUCCCUUGUGGCCUGUGUGCAGGUGGUGCAUGGCUGUCGUCAGCUCGUGUCGUGAGAUGUUGGGUUAAGUCCCGCAACGAGCGCAACCCUUGUCUCAUGUUGCCAGCGGGUAAUGCCGGGGACUCGUGAGAGACUGCCGGGGUCAACUCGGAGGAAGGUGGGGAUGACGUCAAGUCAUCAUGCCCCUUAUGUCCAGGGCUUCACACAUGCUACAAUGGCCGGUACAAAGGGCUGCGAUGCCGCGAGGUUAAGCGAAUCCUUUUAAAGCCGGUCUCAGUUCGGAUCGGGGUCUGCAACUCGACCCCGUGAAGUCGGAGUCGCUAGUAA
rnacentral:rRNA from 1 species